rnacentral:misc_RNA from 1 species
AAAAAAAAAGAAAAAAGAAAAAAUAGCAUAAAUAAUAGUCAUCAAUGAAUAAAUUGGAACUUCCAGCUGCUAUGCACUUCAUUAGGAACUGCCCCACAUAUAACUUCUUACAUUGCACAUCCUGUUUGAUUCUUUUAAUAAAAGACAAGUAAAAACAACAGGCAACACAACCAACUCAGCAGAUUUAAGGAACAAACAAUUUUCUCUUCAGUUGCAAUAGUGAAAGAAAUGUUAAUUCUGAAUUCACUGCAUCCACUUAAUACAAGUCCAAUAUGAAUGAGUCAAGAUUGAAUUUGAUACGUAAUUAUAGAAGAUCAUCAUAAUCACUCAAAAUGAAUUGAUUGAUUUGAAUUUAUAGCAGCAUUUACACUUCAAUUUUACGAUUGUGGAAUCUGCACAAGGCAAUUGUUUUAUACAUGAUGUUUCUGUUUUUGUUCAUCAAAAUAUUUUACUUAUUCUGCCUGCCACAUCCAAACAGUAACCACUCUAGCUGCAUCACCUGUGAAAAACAG